AGGGAGCAUUGUGCACGCCUGUUCAUCUUUAUAUCUCCCCCUGUGCACCUUUUGUAGACCCUCCGGGGUCUAUGUCGCUUCAUCUUCCCCAAUGUAUGUUAAUAGAAUGUGUGUGCAUAUGAAAUCUAUACAACUUUCAGCAACGGAUCUCUUGGCUCUCGCAUCGAUGAAGAACGCAGCGAAAUGCGAUAAGUAAUGUGAAUUGCAGAAUUCAGUGAAUCAUCGAAUCUUUGAACGCACCUUGCGCUCCUUGGUAUUCCGAGGAGCAUGCCUGUUUGAGUGUCAUUAAUAUAUAAUCAACCCUCUUGUUUGAGUGGCUUGGAUGUGGGGGCUUGCUGGCCUCUUAAAAGGUUCAGCUCCCCUGAAAUGCAUUAGUGGAACGACCUGUUCAUUCAUUGGUGUGAUAACUAUCUACGCUAUUGAACGUGAGGCAGUUCAGCUUUCUAACUGUCCUUGGACAAUU
rnacentral:rRNA from 1 species